GUUCACUGAACACAGGGAGAGGAAAACCCCAGCUGGGAGCACCAAAAACGAGCAAAGCAAAGCUGCUCUAUAUUGCUGACAGUCACUGGGAUCAUCAGCAGAAGCGAGGUACGCAACACUUCUUUCUCAUUUGGGGUUCAGACUCUCUCUUUGGAAGCAGGAGUGCUAGGACAUUGGGGUUUCUUUCCUCCAAAUAAAUGGGGUGACAGAAGAGAUUACUAGGAAGUGCUUUUUCACCUGAACGUGAGCAAACCCCAUUGGGUGAACUUUGCAGCACAGAGCACAUCUCUGAGGGUGGGAGAGGGGAUGCUGGGCAUUAGGAGAAUAAGGAGAAAGAGAGAAAGCUCUGGGGAAGGUAAUCACACACUUCUCGAGUCACGGGAACAUGAUAUAUAUGUGCCUGUUGUGAGGUAGUGCUUUAGGUGCAUCUCUGUUUAUUAAAAAGGGAUUAUUUUUUUUCCAUCUGACUUUAUUGAUACACAGUGGUUCAAAGAAAAUUAAGAAAAAAAAAGAAUUGCAGCUGUGGAAUAUUAUUAUUUAUGCACAACCCCUUAGUAGUCAGAAGUUCCUCUGGAGAUCUAUUGAUUCUGCGUGUGGGCAGUUGAAUUCAUGUUGGGUAUUCAGCUCCGGACAGGACACGUUGUUCGCUGGCUUGUGCAGCUUCCAUGGAUCACAUCGAGCUGGUGUCCACCAUGCCGUCAGUCUUGCCUGGUUUAGGCACGAUAGGUGCAGCCCUGGGGCACAGGUAGGCUGAUCCAGGUGGCUUCUGGCUGUGUCCUCUGCCUUUCUGUGGUUAUUCUGUGGUUUUGGCUGAGUCAGGGUAAGAGAAGGGCACUGACUGUGCUCUGCUUUUGUAUGAAAUCGGUCCAUAAACAAAAUAAAUUGCAGGCCCAGCUGGAGCUGUGAAAGCA
rnacentral:lncRNA from 1 species